AACGAACGCUGGCGGCAUGCCUAACACAUGCAAGUCGAACGAGACCUUCGGGUCUAGUGGCGCACGGGUGCGUAACGCGUGGGAACCUGCCCUUAGGUUCGGAAUAACUCCCCGAAAGGGGUGCUAAUACCGGAUAAUGUCUUCGGACCAAAGAUUUAUCGCCUUUGGAUGGGCCCGCGUUGGAUUAGCUAGUUGGUAGGGUAAAAGCCUGCCAAGGCGACGAUCCAUAGCUGGUCUGAGAGGAUGAUCAGCCACACUGGGACUGAGACACGGCCCAGACUCCUACGGGAGGCAGCAGUGGGGAAUAUUGGACAAUGGGCGAAAGCCUGAUCCAGCAAUGCCGCGUGAGUGAUGAAGGCCUUAGGGUUGUAAAGCUCUUUUACCCGGGAUGAUAAGGACAGUACCGGGAGAAUAAGCUCCGGCUAACUCCGU
rnacentral:rRNA from 1 species